UUACGGCCAUAUCACGUCGAAACAUCGGUCCCCGUACGAUCACCGAAGUUAAGCAACGUCGAGCCUGGUUUGUAUCUAAAUGGGUAAGCGCCCGGGAAUAUUAAGUGCAG